CAGAGACUGCAAGCGUUAUUCGGAUUCACUGGGCGUAAAGGGUGCGCAGGCGGUUGGGUGUGUCAGAUGUGAAAUCCCGAGGCUUAACCUCGGAACUGCGUCUGAAACUACUCGACUAGAGUAUUGGAGAGGGUAACGGAAUUCACGGUGUAGCAGUGAAAUGCGUAGAUAUCGUGAGGAACACCAGAGGCGAAGGCGGUUACCUGGACAAUUACUGACGCUCAGGCACGAAAGCAUGGGGAGCAAAAGGGAUUAGAUACCCCUGUAGUCCAUGCCCUAAACGGUGCACACUAGGUCUUAGCGAAUUCGACCCCACUAGGGCCCAAGCUAACGCGUUAAGUGUGCCGCCUGAGGACUACGGUCGCAAGACUA
rnacentral:rRNA from 1 species